GGGGGUGGGUGGGUGGGUGACAUGUCUUUCGAAGACCCUUUUUUUGUAGUCCGAGGCGAGGUGCAGAAGGCAGUGAACACGGCCCGUGGGUUGUAUCAGCGCUGGGGCGAGCUCCUGCAGGAGGGCGCGGCGGUCGAACGCGAAGAGCUAGACUGGACGACCAAUGAGCUGCGGAAUGGCCUGCGCAGCAUCGAGUGGGACCUCGAGGACCUGGAGGAAACCAUCGCUAUCGUGGAGGCCAACCCCGGCAAGUUCAAGCUCCCAGCGGAGGACCUGCAGGAGAGAAAGGUGUUCGUGGAGCGGAUGCGCGAGGCGGUUCAGCAAAUGAGGGACCAUUUGGUCAGCCCAGCUGCCACAGCUUUCAUGGAGAGGAAUAAUAAAGAGAUGCUGGCGGGCAAGUCAGCCACCCUGAAGUCACCCAGUGACCUGCUGGAUGCCAGUGUGGUCUCAGCCUCUUCUCGCUACAUCGAGGAGCAGCAGGCCACACAGCAGCUGAUCAUGGACCAACAGGAUCAACAACUUGAAAUGGUGUCUGGGAGCAUCCAGGUCCUAAAACACAUGUCCAGCCGCGUUGGGGAGGAGCUGGACGAACAGGCAUGCUGGAUGCCUUUGGUCACGAGAUAGACCACACCCAGUCCCGGAUGGACGGGGUCCUCAGGAAGAUGGCCAAAGUAUCCCACAUGACAAGUGCCAAAUCCAUCUGACAUCAGCAAUGAUAUCCCUCAUUCCACGUCACAGAAAAAACUCUUGUUGGGUGCCAUCGACCUGGUUCUGAGUCAUAGCAACCCUACAUACAGUGGAACGAAAUGCUGCCUGGUCCUGCGCUACCCUCACAAUCACUAUUAUGCUUGAGCCCACUGUUGCAGCCGCUAUGUCAAUCCAUCUUGUUGAGGGUCUUCCUCUUUUUCACGGAUCCUCUACUUUACCAAGCAUGAUGUUCCCCUCCAAGGACUGGUCCCUCCUGAUAACAUGUCUAAAGUAAAUGUGAUGAAGUCUCACCAUCCUCGCUUCCAAGGAGCAUUCUGGCUGUACUUCUUCCAAGACAGAUUUGUUCAUUCUUCUGGAAGUCCAUGGUAUAUCCAAUAUUCUUUGCUAACACCGUAAUUCAGAGUCGUCAGUUUUUCGGUCUUCCUUAUCCGUUGUUCCAGCUUUCGCAUGCAUAUUAGAACAGAAAAAAAGCGUUCUGGUUUAUUUGUUUUAGUAACAGAUAAUUAAUUACCAUUGAAAAUUCCAAACUCCAGUUCUUCACCGAGCUUCCGAAGAUCACCCUACACAUCUGCUGCUCAUUCUGUGUUGCAGGUAGGUAAAUCCCUUAGAAGUGGAGUUUAGUUUAGCAGCCAUUUCUAAGCGGUCUUUGAGUAAUGCGGGGUCCCACUGCAAACCUGGUGAGUUCAAACCCUGUCCAGUGUCACUGUACCCAGGUCAGCUUUGUCCACUGUAGACUCUUCUGAGUCUAAAACUGUAUGGUGACUCAGGUUAUUAUCUUAGAUGUUUCCAUCCUGGGCAUUACAUAGUAAGGUAUCAAAACGACAGGUCUCAAGUGUUCAUCUACACGUCGUAAAGUUCUGGGCGUUACAAAGCUGUCAUUCUUUUAGGCUAAAUUGCCCAAUAUUAAAAAGAUUUCUACACAAAAACGUUAAUUCUAUGGUUUUGGUUCUCUUAAUCCUUUCUAUACUUC